UACGUAGGGGGCAAGCGUUGUCCGGAUUUAUUGGGCGUAAAGAGCUCGUAGGCGGCUCGGUAAGUCGGAUGUGAAACCUCCAGGCUCAACCUGGAGACGCCAUCUGAUACUGCCGUGGCUUGAGUCCGGUAGAGGAGCAGGGAAUUCCUGGUGUAGCGGUGAAAUGCGCAGAUAUCAGGAGGAACACCAGCGGCGAAGGCGCUGCUCUGGGCCGGUACUGACGCUGAGGAGCGAAAGCCAGGGGAGCAAACGGG
rnacentral:rRNA from 1 species